rnacentral:rRNA from 1 species
ACUCCUCCGGGCACCGACUCCGGUGCAAGUCCCCCUGACCGGGGCUCCCACCCCGAGAGGGUGCAAGGCCCGUAGCGGCCGGAAGGCGGUCCCGGAUGUCCUCUCCUGGGAGUCGGGUUGCUUGAGAGUGCAGCCCCAAUCGGGUGGUAAACUCCAUCUAAGGCUAAAUACGACCUGGAGACCGAUAGCGAACAAGUACCGUGAGGGAAAGUUGAAAAGGACUUUGAAGAGAGAGUUCAAGAGUACGUGAAACCGUUCGGAGGUAAACGAGUGGGCCCUCGAAGUGCUGAAGGCGGGGGGACUCAGCCGAACGCCGUCGAGCCCGCCGGUGCGUCCCGCGCUUCCCGAAAAGGACGCGGCGCACCGGUGCGCUGGCUCCGGCGCGCGGCGCAUUUCCUCCCGUCCUCCGACGCUGCGACCGGUCGGGCGCGCCACGAGCAGUCGGCCUUACUCGCGGGAAACGGAAGGUAGCCGGGUAGGCGCACACGCGCCCUCCCCGGUGUUUUAUCCGUCCCGUCCUCGAGUCAGCCGUUCGCCCGACCGCAGGACUCGGCCCUCAGGGGCCUCCAGCCGCGCCCUCCCCGACUGCGGGGAUCGGAGCUCGCCCCGGAAGGGAUGCCGUCGCUACUUUUUCCCUCGCCACACCCCCGGUGUGCUUGGGGCGGCGGCGCCCGCUGGCCGGGGCGAUUUCGAGCGGGCGCAGGCGGUCCGCAGCGAGUAGGUCGGUCACCCACUCGACCCGUCUUGAAACACGGACCAAGGAGUUUAACAUGCGCGCGAGUCACUGGGUCGUGAGCAGGCCCAAGGGCGCAAUGAAAGUGAAGGUCGGCCCUCGCCGUCCGCGUUGGGAUCCGCCGGCCUCCGCGCCGGCGGCGCACCAACGGCUCGUCCGGGCCGCCUCGUCGGCCGGGCGAAGCUAGAGCGCGCACGUUGAGACCCGAAAGAUGGUGAACUAUGGCUGGGCAGGACGAAGCC